rnacentral:rRNA from 1 species
GAUGUGGGUGAGAAUCCCACAGGCCGUAAACCCAAGGUUUCCAGGGGAAGGUUCGUCCGCCCUGGGUUAGUCGGGACCUAAGCUGAGGCCGAAAGGCGUAGGGGAUGGACAACAGGUUGAUAUUCCUGUACUACCGAUAACCGUUUGAGAGAAGGGAUGACACAGUAGGAUAAGCUAAGCACACUGUUGGUUAUGUGUGCCCAAG